UUUUUUUUAAAAAAAAGAAUCUUAGUUCAGCAUACCUUUCUGCAUUAAGUAGAUUUCAUAUAUGUGCAUACUGUAUUGUUUGGUUGUUGCAAAGAUUUCUGUGACUGAGUCAGUGCCAGGCUGCUCACUAAAAAGUACUUUGAGGCAAUAUUGGUCACAAGGUUCGAGAAAAUGCAAAACCUGUCCAGUGUCUUUUUUUAAAUCUACCAACACCAAUAUGUGAAACUUUACAUUUUUGGAUUUUGCCCCACCUUUUUUUGACUGAUGCAAAUCUCAUCCCUUUGUUAGCACUGAAAUUGUUAGGAAUUACUUCAAACUGGAUCUAAAUAGCGUCUGACUUUUUUGAUAGUACUUUGCCCAUUGUGUUCGUUUUGUGUUUUUUCGUGUGUAUAGAUUAUCAGCCUAACAAGCAUAGUUUAGGUUACAAAUCUCUUAACUUUGUUUCUAACAAAAAACAUUUAAUGAUUAAACUCAUGCAGCUAUCUACUCCAUGGUCUCUAGGUACCAAGUGUGACAUUGUUUCAGGGUCAGUAUUGCAGCUUGCAGUUGCAUGCCAUUAGCGGAUGAUCUAAAAUUGUCUUAACACACAAUAAAUGUCUCCAAUUCCUAUACUUGCAAAAUUCUACAUAUUUGAGUGGGUUCCUUUCCUUAUUAUUGAUGUCUCUAAUAUAAAUAUCUUUAAAUGUGUUUAUAAAUAGUAAAGAAAUGACUUGCUUUGUAAGCAAAUAACUGUCCUAGGGCGUUACCAGAAUCCUCCUUUAUUUUCCCUAAUAUGACAAAAAGUAGCAUGGUAACCGGAGAGCAAUGUUCACUUGAAGACUCAGGGAGGUUUACAAUGCAUUUAUCAAUAAAAGAGGUAAUCUGCUUCCGUGUUUGCUAGGAUAACAGAAUAAUAGACAUAGUUUGCUAUGCAAUGCUCCAAUAUUAGCAUAUUACAUAUGUUUGCUUCUUUAACUUGGGUCAUGUGUUCUAAGCUAGGGGGAAAAAAAUACAGACAAGCAUGAAGCGGGGAUUAGGCAUGUAGAUUGUUCUAGGCUUACAUCACAAUCUAUGGACCUAAAAUGAUGGUGCUUAGUGCAAUAACCCACAGCUUAAAAAUAGUUAUUUACAGAGGGGUAAUAAUCAUAACUCACUAGUUUAUCUAUACUAUUGAUUGGUAAAGGAGAAGAUAUGCAUAAAACCACAAUUUCUGCCUGUCUGAUACAAAAUGUGUUUAGCAAGAUUUUGCUGCUGCCGCUUUAAGUGAAGAGCCAUUUUUUGUAAACCAUUUUACUUUAGAGGUGGUUGUACCCAAUUCAGAUGGGCUUCUACAAAACAACCCAUAUUCAUUAGGCUUCUACCAUGGCAUGCACAGAGUAACGCUUAAGGCUUUAUUCACUAAUAGUUGAUUGUAAGCCAAACUGCAAAGCAUAGGCUAAAAUGGAAACGGGUCUCUAACUCCACUACAGUUAAAGCUGGACUGUCAUGCAAUUCUGUCUACAAUUUGGUCAAAAAGAAUGUAACGAUUUUGGAAUCGAAUCGGUUGUUUCCUUUAGUAAGGGCCUCUAUAGUUAUAUGAAUUAUUCUUUUCGGUACAGGGGAUAAGUAUACAGAUUAGUAACAUCACUGCACCCAGUGUAGAGAGCCACCCUGUGGAGUGUAUUGAACUCUGUAUUAAUAACAAAGGGAAGAAAAAGAUCCUCGUUACAGCUACAAAAAGACUAUGAAUACCAAAUUGCAUAGAAGAACAUGACUCUGCUUGUUGACUCUAAUGGGUGCAUUACAGUACGGAUGUGCACUGAGUCCAGUCCUUUAUUCACUUGCAUUGCUACUUAACUCUGCCUGUAUUUCUAAUCAGUCCCUGGUGUAACUUUGCAAAAACAACAAACUGAGAAUUUAAUUUUAUGGACCUUUCCUAAAUGUCAUAACGCCCACAUCAUCCGCUAUGCAGAACAAUGUUGUACAAUGAACUGCAUAAUAAAGCAUGCACUACAAAGAAAACUAACAAAAAAAAUGUCUGUCCUUUCUCCCUUUUUAUAUGUAAUAAAUC
rnacentral:lncRNA from 1 species